GAUGAACGCUAGCGGCAGGCUUAACACAUGCAAGUCGAGGGGCAGCACGAUGUAGCAACUACAUUGGUGGCGACCGGCGCACGGGUGCGUAACACGUAUGGAAUCUGCCUUGUACUGGGAGAUAGCCCGGAGAAAUCCGGAUUAAUAUCCCAUAAUAGCUUGAGUGGCAUCACUCGGGUUUGAAAGCUCCGGCGGUACAAGAUGACCAUGCGCACGAUUAGCUAGUUGGUGAGGUAACGGCUCACCAAGGCUACGAUCGUUAGGGGGCCUGAGAGGGUUAUCCCCCCACACUGGUACUGAGACACGGACCAGACUCCUACGGGAGGCAGCAGUGAGGAAUAUUGCGCAAUGGAGGCAACUCUGACGCAGCCAUGCCGCGUGCAGGAAGAAGGCGCUACGCGUUGUAAACUGCUUUUAACCGGGAGAACCCCAGGACGUGUCCUGGGUUGACGGUACCGGAGGAAUAAGCACCGGCUAACUUCGUGCCAGCAGCCGACGG
rnacentral:rRNA from 1 species